CCAAAAUAUCGCCAUCUCAGAAAUCUUUGUUUGACGCUCUCACCCGCAAUCAUAGAAAUCUGAAAUAAACUCCCGAAAUGCUGCCAAACCUGAUUUGAUAUAUCACUACUAGUAAAAAUGUGAGUGAUGGUCUCAAUCUCUGAAAAACACUGACAUCGAAAAGCUAGCUGACUGCCAAUCCUCCUUUGAAUAAUAACACCUACUGGUAUCAAAUCCUAUCAUAAUCUUCAAUAGAAGAACGAGACUGUGGUAGGUAUGAUAGGGCUUCAAAGUAGGCAAAAUGAAUCAUACAUUGGUAUGCUAGAACGGAUCAACUGCCAUGCUGAUUUGGUGGUAAAUCUACCAUCUGAUGUAGCUUUCCAAGAAAUGCGGUCUGGGGCAUCGACACAUAAUGGCAUGUUUGCAAUUUUCUUUGCCAUAAUGGGAGGAAUAGUUUGUAAUAAUCGUUCAAAGUCCCAUCCGUCGUCAUUGAAGAAAUUUUGUACCUUCAUAGAUGUGUGCUGGCUGUUUGGGAAGAUGGAUGCCAAAGAAGUAUCUCCCAUCCAGCAAUCAUGCCAAAAAAAUCUGACCUAUCCUAAGUUGCCACACAAUAUGUGGCUCGACAUGUUGUCCAAAUCUUUUCAGUCUCUUCCAUACAGGAGAGGCUGAAUUAAGGAUAGCUGCAAGUGAUGGAUGUGUCCAUAUACAGUAUUUGCCCAAUAAAAAUUGAGCCCAAGGAGAACUUUGAGAUUUGAAUAGCCCUAAAGCUUCAUGGAGAAUGUGUCUACCGUAUCUUUUAGUCUUCUAAAGCCCAGUCCACCCUCGUCAGUCGGAGGCAAAUCUCUUUCCAACUCCGCCAAUGUAACUGUCAUUCCUGAUCCUUAGAAUCCCAUAAAAAUCUCGCAAGUAUACUCUCCAACUUUUUUAGUAUGACCUUGGAGAUCACAGAAUCUGAAAAAGGCAUAGUGCUAAGGAGGAGAGAACUGAUCUCAGCAGAGUGAUCCUACUACCAUACGAAAGAAUUCUUGAAGCCCAUCAUGACAUCCUACUCUUGAUCUUCGUGAUAAGAUCAUCAUAAGGAAUGCUUCUCUUAACCCCCUAAACAAAGGAACUUCUAAGUAUGUGAACGACAGUUGUUGAUGAGAAAACCCUAUUAAUACAACUAGCCUCUGUAUCUGAAUAUCCGAUGUCCUCCUGGGCAAUAUAAGGCCACUUUUAUCUCUAUUCACCAAUUGGCCAGAGAGUCGUUCAUAGUGCUCCAAACAGUCGAUGAUCUUUCUAAUAGACAUCUUGUGACCAUUGGCGAAUAUAAUUAUAUCGUCAGCACAAGCAAGAUGAGAGACAAGAGUAUUACCACCAUGUCGAUAUUGCAUACUAGGGGAUGCAUGAAACCUCUGAGUAAGCAAACGAAAGAAAUAGUCCACAGCGAUAAUGAAUAAGGAGGGAGAGAUAGGGUCUCCCUGUCUGAGUCCACGUGAGGAUGGGAAGAAACCACAUGGCCGACCAUUCAGAAGCACUAAAAAAUGACAUUUGGAGAUACACUGUUUUAUCCUGUCUAUCCACAACUGAUCAAAACCAAAUGCCUCUAGAGUAGCAUAAGUAAAAUCCCAAUCCAUACGAUCAUAUGCUUUAGCCAUAUCAAGCUUUAGCAUAGUAUUUCCUCCCCGUACUCUAUUUAUCAAAUGUGUGUAGAAGCUCCUGAGUCAGUAAUACAUUGUCCCCAAUAAGAUGACUAGGGAUAAAAUCACUUUUUUGGAGAGAAAUGAUACGUGGCA
rnacentral:lncRNA from 1 species